rnacentral:rRNA from 1 species
GAUCGGAUCAAGCGCGAAAAGGGCGUUUGGUGGAUGCCUUGGCGAUAAGAGGCGAUGAAGGACGUGGCACUCUGCGAUAAGUCCCGGGGAGGCGAGAGCACCCUUUGAUCCGGGAAUGUCCGAAUGGGGAAACCCACCUGACAUGUGAUCAAUAUGGAAAGACCCGAUGGGUACGAUGCGGUUCACGCCGCGUCGGUUGAUACCCUUUGGGCCCCUCCUUGUUGAUGACGUGAGCCAGGUACUUGUGACUUGAAUACAUAGGGUUACAAGAGCGAACCCGGGGAACUGAAACAUCUAAGUACCCGGAGGAAAGGAAAUCAACAGAUACUCCGCUAGUAGUGGCGAGCGAACGCGGAUCAGCCGAGCCAGUUAACUUAGCAGAACCGGAUGGAAAGCCGGGCCGUAGCGGGUGACAGCCCCGUAUGCAGAGGUGACCUGGACAUAUCAAGUAGGGCGGGACACGUGAAAUCCUGUCUGAAGAUCGGGGGACCACCCUCGAAGGCUAAGUACUCCUUAUCGACCGAUAGCGAACCAGUACCGUGAGGGAAAGGUGAAAAGCACCCCGACGAGGGGAGUGAAACAGUACCUGAAACCGAACGCCUACAAACAGCCGGAGCGCAAGUGACGGCGUACCUUUUGUAUAAUGGGUCAGCGACUUGGUCUCACGAGCAAGCUUAAGCCGUUAGGUGUAGGCGCAGCGAAAGCGAGUCUGAAUAGGGCGCAUGAGUUCGUGGGAUCAGACCCGAAACCGGGUGAUCUAGGCAUGAGCAGGUUGAAGGUGCGGUAACACGCACUGGAGGACCGAACCCACAUCCGUUGAAAAGGAUCGGGAUGACUUGUGCCUAGGGGUGAAAGGCCAAUCAAACUCGGAUAUAGCUGGUUCUCCGCGAAAUCUAUUUAGGUAGAGCGUCAGACGAAUACCUCUGGGGGUAGAGCACUGGAUGGGUAAUGGGGUCCCACAGACUUACUGAUCCUAACCAAACUCCGAAUACCAGAGAGUACUAUCUGGCAGACACACAUCGGGUGCUAAGGUCCGGUGUGAAAAGGGAAACAGCCCUGACCAACAGCUAAGGCCCCUAAUUCGUGGCUAAGUGGGAAAGCAUGUGAGACGGCCAAAACAACCAGGAUGUUGGCUUAGAAGCAGCCAUCAUUUAAAGAAAGCGUAACAGCUCACUGGUCUAGAUAAGCUGUCUUGCGGCGAAGAUGUAACGGGGCUCAAGCCACGAGCCGAAGCUUUGGGUGCAGCAAUGCGCGGUAGCGGAGCGUUCUCUGUGCGGCGAAGGGUGUGGGUGACCUAUCCUGGAGCGCAGAGAAGUGAGAAUGCUGACAUGAGUAGCGACAAAGAGGGUGAGAGACCCUCUCGCCGAAAGUCCAAGGGUUCCUGCUUAAAGUUAAUCUGAGCAGGGUGAGCCGACCCCUAAGGCGAGGCCGAAAGGCGUAGUCGAUGGGAACCAGGUUAAUAUUCCUGGGCCAGGAGGAUGUGACGGAUCGCAGAGGUAGUUAUCCCUUAUCGGAUUGGGAUGGCUGCUGAGCGGUUCCUGGAAAUAGCCCUCCGUGAGAUCGUACCCUAAACCGACACAGGUGGACUGGUAGAGUAUACCAAGGCGCUUGAGAGAACUACGUUGAAGGAACUCGGCAAAAUGCCUCCGUAACUUCGGGAGAAGGAGGCCCCGUCCGUGGGCAACCAUGGGCGGGGGGCACAGACCAGGGGGUAGCGACUGUUUACUAAAAACACAGGGCUCUGCGAAGCCGCAAGGCGACGUAUAGGGUCUGACGCCUGCCCGGUGCCGGAAGGUUAAAAGGAGGUGUGCAAGCACUGAAUUGAAGCCCCGGUAAACGGCGGCCGUAACUAUAACGGUCCUAAGGUAGCGAAAUUCCUUGUCGGGUAAGUUCCGACCUGCACGAAUGGCGUAACGAUUUCCCCGCUGUCUCCAACGUAGACUCAGCGAAAUUGAAUUCCCCGUGAAGAUGCGGGGUUCCCGCGGUCAGACGGAAAGACCCCAUGCACCUUUACUACAGCUUCACACUGGCGCCAGACAUGUCAUGUGCAGGAUAGGUGGUAGGCUUUGAAGCGGGGACGCUAGUCCUCGUGGAGCCUCCCUUGAGAUACCACCCUUGUCCUGUUUGGCGUCUAACCGCGGUCCGUCAUCCGGAUCCGGGACCCUGUGUGGCGGGUAGUUUGACUGGGGCGGUCGCCUCCCAAAGAGUAACGGAGGCGCGCGAUGGUGGGCUCAGAACGGUCGGAAAUCGUUCGCUGAGUGCAAUGGCAUAAGCCCGCCUGACUGCGAGACUGACAAGUCGAGCAGAGACGAAAGUCGGCCAUAGUGAUCCGGUGGUCCCGAGUGGAAGGGCCAUCGCUCAACGGAUAAAAGGUACGCUGGGGAUAACAGGCUGAUGAUGCCCAAGAGUCCAUAUCGACGGCAUCGUUUGGCACCUCGAUGUCGGCUCAUCUCAUCCUGGGGCUGGAGCAGGUCCCAAGGGUAUGGCUGUUCGCCAUUUAAAGAGGUACGUGAGCUGGGUUUAGAACGUCGUGAGACAGUUCGGUCCCUAUCUGCCGUGGGUGUAGGAGACUUGAGAGGAGCUGCCCCUAGUACGAGAGGACCGGGGUGGACGUACCACUGGUGGACCAGUUGUCCUGCCAAGGGCAGUGCUGGGUAGCUAUGUACGGACAGGAUAACCGCUGAAGGCAUCUAAGCGGGAAGCCCCCCUCAAAACAAGGUCUCCCUAUCAGGGCCGUGGAAGACCACCACGUCGAUAGGCUGGAGAUGUAAGUGCAGCAAUGCAUUCAGUUGACCAGUACUAAUCGCCCGAUUGGCUUGAACCGAUCCGG